UGGGGCUCUGCUUUGUGGAUAUCUUCUUUACCGAACGAUAUUGAAAGGUGCAGUGUCCACACAGAUUGUCUGAUGAAAAAUAAUGAGCAUGAAAACCCUUUCGUUGAAAGGCGGACGGGCUGAUGAGUCGUUAACACAUCGGCCGCUUGAAUUUGCCAGCAAAUUCGCGCCUUUACACGGAAAUAGCAAAUCAGUGAUUUGCUAAGCAAUUUCCGUGUCCCCAUCGUCUAGAGGCCUAGGACACUGCCCUUUCACGGCUGUAACAGGGGUUCGAAUCCCCUUGGGGACGCCAUUCCGAUAAUGAGUGAAAGACAUUAUCACCGAUUAUCUUAAAGAUGACUUUAACGAGCCGUGUUUAAGAUAUGGCUUUUUAACAAUCUGGACCAAGCUGAAAAUUGAAAUGAGGAAUAAUCGAAAAAUUAUUCACAAGUCUCUCAAAAGCGAACAGCCAAUGAUGGAAACAUCUUCGGGUUGGGAGGUUAAGGGACUAAGCGUACACGGUGGAUGCCUUGGAAA
rnacentral:misc_RNA from 1 species